rnacentral:rRNA from 1 species
ACCCGAUCCCAUUCCGAACUCGGUAGUUAAGCCCUGCAGCGCCAAUGGUACUGCCUUGGUAACGGGGUGGGAGAGUAGGACAUCGCCGGGG